rnacentral:sRNA from 1 species
AACCUCCGGGGGCGGGGAGGUUCGACUCGAGCGAAGCGAGAGAACGUUGCGCCAGCAACGGCCCGCAGGGCGAGCCACGAAGUGGCGAGUAAUCCUCUAUCACCGACCA